UACGGAGGGGGCUAGCGUUGUUCGGAAUUACUGGGCGUAAAGCGGGUGUAGGCGGACCGGCAAGUCGGGGGUGAAAGCCCAGGGCUCAACCCUGGAACUGCCUCCGAAACUGCCGGUCUCGAGUCUGGGAGAGGUGAGCGGAAUUCCGAGUGUAGAGGUGAAAUUCGUAGAUAUUCGGAGGAACACCAGAGGCGAAGGCGGCUCACUGGACCAGUACUGACGCUGAGACCCGAAAGCGUGGGGAGCAAACAGG
rnacentral:misc_RNA from 1 species